AAAUGCUUGCCUGAAAAUAGUAGAGGAAACGGCAAAAAGAUUUGGAAAAGACAUACACAUCUUCAAUCUGUAUGUGGUGCCCCUGUGGAAGGCAGAUGUGGAUCCUUUGUGUUCACUGCCUGACCUGACAACGAAAGACCUUGUAGUUUUCCCAGCAUGGAGCCAACAACAGGACGCUGCUGAUCACU